rnacentral:rRNA from 1 species
ACCCGCUGAACUUAAGCAUAUCAAUAAGCGGAGGAAAAGAAACUAACAAGGAUUCCCCUAGUAACGGCGAGUGAAGCGGGAAGAGCUCAAAUUUGAAAUCUGGUAGCCUUCGGUUGCCCGAGUUGUAAUCUAGAGAAAUGUUUUCCGUGCCGGCCCAUGUACAAGUCCCUUGGAACAGGGCGUCAUAGAGGGUGAGAAUCCCGUCCUUGACAUGGACCCCCGGUGCUUUGUGAUACAUUUUCAACGAGUCGAGUUGUUUGGGAAUGCAGCUCAAAAUGGGUGGUGAAUUCCAUCUAAAGCUAAAUAUUGGCGAGAGACCGAUAGCGAACAAGUACCGUGAGGGAAAGAUGAAAAGCACUUUGGAAAGAGAGUUAAACAGUACGUGAAAUUGUUGAAAGGGAAACGAUUGAAGUCAGUCAUGCUCUUUGGUAUUUAUAUCAUUGAGUGGGGUCAACAUCAGUUUUGAUCGAUGGAUAAAGGCACUAGGAAGGUAGCACUCUCGGGUGAACUUAUAGCCUAGCGUCAUAUACAUUGAUUGGGACUGAGGAACGCAGCAUGCCUUUAUGGCCGGGAUUCGUCCACGUACAUGCUUAGGAUGUUGACAUAAUGGCUUU